GGCCUGGAAGACAACAUGGCUUGUAAUUAUUAGACAUACAUGUGUUUGGUUAUCUAUCUGAAGGUAUUGAAUAUCGUACAGUUAACAUGUCUUGUAGUAAUCGCUUAGAUGAAGAGGAAUUGGGGCAUAGAUUGAAGUCAGCGGGCAGUUCUGAUUUGGUUUACAUGUUCAUGACUAUCCCUUGGGUUCUCUCUAGUCUCUCUAACACAUACAUGCAGCAAGCCACACUUCUUGCUCCCACACACGGCGGCACACUGUCCCCACAAGCUAACUAGUCAUGCAUAGUAAUCUGAUCGUUCAGCCUGGCUCUGAAUCACUACUACAAAAAACCCUUACCGUGACCUUUUCAAAAGCCCCUUCGAGACGGGU
rnacentral:lncRNA from 1 species